rnacentral:misc_RNA from 1 species
CCUAAAGAUAUGCAGUUGAGUGCAGUGUCCACACAGAUUGUCUGAUGAAAAAGUAACGAGCAGAAAUACCUUUAUAGGCUUGUAGCUCAGGUGGUUAGAGCGCACCCCUGAUAAGGGUGAGGUCGGUGGUUCAAGUCCACUCAGGCCUACCAAAUUCGCACUUGUGCUGCGUUGCACGCGAUACGUUUACACCGUAAACGUCCAGUGAGCAUGCCUUGCCUGAGCGAGUGGUAAAUAAAGGUUUCUGCAAGUGACUGUAUGGGGCUAUAGCUCAGCUGGGAGAGCGCCUGCCUUGCACGCAGGAGGUCAGCGGUUCGAUCCCGCUUAGCUCCACCAUAUCCAUAUGGUCCUUGAUAAUACUUCAGAGUGUACUGGCAACAGUAUGCUGCGAAGUAUUUUGCUCUUUAACAAUCUGGAACAAGCUGAAAAUUGAAACAUGACAGCUGAAACUUAUCCCUCCGUAGAACUAUUGGGGUAAGGAUUAACCUGUCAUAGAGUCUCUCAAAUAAACAGCACGACAGAGUUCUCUGUUUACAGAAACACCUUCGGGUUGUGA